GGAGACACUGAAUUAGAAACUGAGGAACUUGUUUGAUCAGGUCUCCCUGCCCCGACUGCUCUUGGUCACUUGCUUUUUGUUAUUUUUCGUUUCCUUUUUCCAUGAAGCUGAAGGCUGCAGCAUUUGAACACCUGAGCACCGAACGCUGAAACUUAACCUUCACUGGCUACUUUACAAGAUAACACAAGGCACAUUGUAAUCGUUGCUUCACUUGUUUCCAGCAACCUGGGCCAGUUCUCAUCCAGUUCAAUGGGCUGAGACCACCAACACUUUCAGUGGGCCUUUAUCUUCAAGAGUUCUUAUAAAAUGAUGUGUGCACGUGAAAAAUAUAUAUAUAAGGUAAAAUGACUAUCAAAUCUGUAAUUAAAAUUUUAUAAGAGGUGACAAAAAAUCACUUCCGAUCUAAGAGACAACCUACUAUGACAUAUUAGAAAUUACUAAGAGUAGCCCAGAGAACACAACUGACUGUCAACGACUGAAGAUAAAAAAAACUGGAAAGAAUGUAAAGGAAGGAUGACGCAAUCGUGCAUGGCGGUCCUUUACCAAAUUGAGAAUGAACACCCCAGAUGAAUGAUCUCUGAAGAUCAGAGACACUGCUCUCAGGAACAGAACACACAGUAACUCAUCUCCGUAUUCUAGGAAAUGAGUUAAUAGUGAUAAUAAAUACAGAAUUUCCAGCACCUACUGUGUGCUGGGCCAUUAUAAAUGCUACAGCUCUUCUCAGGCCAACACUGCCAGGAAGAAGUGAUGGCUUUCAUAUGACAGCCUCAGAGCUGCUGCUGUUUGCCUGAAGCCACAGGCUGAUGGGGUAGGACUAUCCUUUUCAUAUGGGGACAAGGAAUGGGAAAUUGUUAAAUAAGUCCCCCAAAAGUAAAACUAAAACAUAAAUAGUGGUUAAGAGGAAGGGUAGACAUGGAAGUUAGCUCUAAAGCUCAUUGUGAUGACCCCACGAGGUACUCAAUACAAUGGUAGCAUGUGGGGGCUUUAUUUUUAUAGGCAGCUUCUAUUUUCAUUACUAUGAGAUGUGCAGCAGAUGUCUUCAUUUACAUAUAGCCCAGGAGAUGGGAAAAAUUAAGCUGGUUUCCAGUCUUGUGUCUUAAGAGAUGUUUAUUUAAACAAUUAGCACAAAAUGGCCAAACAGAAGUUGCUUUGAUUUAACCUAAUUUUAUGAUUUAACUAGAAAAGAAAGUCUAGAAGUAUUUUAACAUCUAGGUUGGAAAGCCAACUAAAGUUAAACAGGAUUUUUAGCAGCAUCUCAACCAUUUUUAAAAAGCCCUCAAAGUGAAGUAAGUCUCAAAGUUUUACCACCUCUGUUAGCCUUCCUGACCCCAAGUGAAUCACCCGCACGGAGACCGUAUCUGGAGAACAUAAUGAUCUUUACCUACCUUUUUUUCAAAGAAUUUUUUUCUUAACUUGGCAUCUGUGGGAGGUACUGUUUUCCUCAGGUUUCUGUACCACUUUCUAACAACAUAUCCUCUCCAGUAGGCUUGGAUUCUAAAACACAGAUGUUUGAAAAUGACUAAUUUAUGAUGACUCUAUGUCAACCAAUACUUCAGUAGUUGUUAUAAGCCCUGUGCUGUACAAGGCCCUGGGGAAAUUAUGGUGGCCAAGAAGAGAGAUAAAAUCCCACUAUUCAAAAAACAAGUUAGUUGUCAUAGCCUGAUCUGUGUCUGCUCAGCGCCAAACGGGCCUGGCGUCCUCACCUGGUCACACACUUGAUUCUGAACAGGCGGGCCCCAUCGUGUAUCACUCGGGUUUGAUACUGGUUCUUUCUACAGAGAGGACAGGUUUUCUUAUUUGUGAACUUUUCAAAAGCCUGAAGACAUGCCUGAAGAAAAACAUUUCACUUAAAAUUUUACAAGUAAUUACUUAUAAACAACGUUUUUACUUCCAAUGUUAGUGUUCUAAUUAUAGUGUUCUUUUCUCCCAUAACUAUGAGACUUAGCCCAAUUUAGGUUAUAAAGUGAGGAGGCUUCAUCAGGUGCUACCACCUUCCUCACGAAACCUGUUCCAAAAAUGAUUUCUUACAAGAAUAUACAUGCAGAGACAUCAAAAACUUCUGAAAUCCACUAGCACAAAGAUGGUGGUGAUGAGUAAAAUAAAUGGCUCUCCUUAGGAGCCUUGAAAAUGACUAUGGUUUCUCUGCAUUGUGAGAGCGACGUGUGCAGCACCUGGGCAGGCGUGAGGGGUGGACUUACUUUGUGGAACACAUGGGAGCAUGAAAGCAGCACCUGUUCAUGAGGAAACAGAACAACGUUGAAGUUUACAAAAGAGAAGCAGCAUGUAUCCAACAGUUAAAAUCCUGAAUGCUUAGAAGGGAAUGUGUUCCAGGACAUUCCAAGGAUGCUCAAGUCCCUGAUAGAAGAUGGUGGAGUAUUUGCAUACAACCCAUGCAUAUCCUCCUGUAUACUGCCAGUCAUCUCGAUUACCAAUAAUUCCUAAUGCAAGUGCUAUGUAAAUAGCUGUUAUACUAUAUUGUUUUUAAUUUGUAUUAUUUUUAUUAUAUUGUUGUAUUGUUAUUUUUUAUUCAUUUAUUAAAAUUUUGAUCUGUG